rnacentral:rRNA from 1 species
UGGGGAAUAUUGGGCAAUGGGCGAAAGCCUGACCCAGCGACGCCGUGUGGGCGAUGAAGGCCUUCGGGUUGUAAAGCCCUGUUGGGUGGAAAGAAGGGCUCAGGGACGAAUAAUCCCUGAGCUUUGACGGUACCACCAGAGGAAGCACCGGCUAACUCCGUGCCAGCAGCCGCGGUAAUACGGAGGGUGCAAGCGUUGUUCGGAAUUACUGGGCGUAAAGGGCGCGUAGGUGGUUGUGUAAGUCAGAUGUGAAAUCCCGAGGCUCAACCUCGGAACUGCAUCUGAUACUGCAUGACUUGAGUGCAGCAGAGGGAAACGGAAUUCCUGGUGUAGAGGUGAAAUUCGUAGAUAUCAGGAGGAACACCGGUGGCGAAGGCGGUUUCCUGGGCUGACACUGACACUGAGGCGCGAAAGCGUGGGUAGCAAACAGG